UAGUGGCGAACGGGUGAGUAACACGUGGGCAAUCUGCCCUUCACUCUGGGACAAGCCCUGGAAACGGGGUCUAAUACCGGAUAACACUCUGUCCCGCAUGGGACGGGGUUGAAAGCUCCGGCGGUGAAGGAUGAGCCCGCGGCCUAUCAGCUUGUUGGUGGGGUGAUGGCCUACCAAGGCGACGACGGGUAGCCGGCCUGAGAGGGCGACCGGCCACACUGGGACUGAGACACGGCCCAGACUCCUACGGGAGGCAGCAGUGGGGAAUAUUGCACAAUGGGCGAAAGCCUGAUGCAGCGACGCCGCGUGAGGGAUGACGGCCUUCGGGUUGUAAACCUCUUUCAGCAGGGAAGAAGCGAGAGUGACGGUACCUGCAGAAGAAGCGCCGGCUAACUACGUGCCAGCAGCCGCGGUAAUACGUAGGGCGCAAGCGUUGUCCGGAAUUAUUGGGCGUAAAGAGCUCGUAGGCGGCUUGUUGCGUCGGUUGUGAAAGCCCGGGGCUUAACCCCGGGUCUGCAGUCGAUACGGGCAGGCUAGAGUGUGGUAGGGGAG
rnacentral:rRNA from 1 species